rnacentral:lncRNA from 1 species
AGCUCAGCGUGCAGAAGACUGAGGAGCCAUUGGUCAGUGUAGGAGGUGCCUGGAGUUUUGGAGAUGGGAUCCACAGGAAUUCAACACAACACGAAAUAAUCGACAAAUUCGGGGAAUGUUAAUCUGACCAUCCCCAGUUACAAAUGAUGUUUCAUGCUACCUUCUAUUCCUGCCUUCAUAAAUCAAGGAAAAGAAAAAGAGAACAUAUAUCCCCCUACCUUUUGAUUUCCAACAGUCUACUGAGAGGCCAAAAUUAUUUGCAGGGAAAGAAAAGGGGAAUGCCAUCCCCACCCUCUCGCAGCUACA